UGUCAAGCAAACAAAGGAGAGAGAAGUAAUGGAGGGGAGAAAAAAAAACAGCAAAGCCAUGUGAGUACAAAGGGCUUCCUAGAGACACAAAAUAAGCAGCUGGAAGAAAAAUGCAGACAAUAUUGCCUUUAAUCUCUAAGAUAACCAGGUUCAAUCAUCUUAGAUGUUACUAGUAACAUCUGUGGCUUUAAAAAAAAGAAAAUACAAAAAUCAACCUAUAGCUGAGCCAUUAAGUUAUUAAGUUCACAAUGUCACUGUAAUGUUGGCUUCAAACCCAAAACAAAACCUUUGAAAGCGAGAAGAAUUCAAGAAGCUCUCAUUAAAGUGAGAGGUGACUAUUCUGGCACUAUUGAAGUGAAGGAUAAAGUUGCUGAAGGGACUGAUGACUAAUUUCCAUUUUUAUUUGCUCACUGCAAUAAUUGUGUGAGAAACUUAGAAAAUAUGUGAAGGGACAAGCGGGCAGGUUCAGUGUGGGCUGUACAAGGAUUUGACCUGAGUGGCUUUCCCCAGAUAGAGGAGUUGCUGCUUCGCAGGGAUGGAGGGAGAGGAAGUCCAAGAGUGCUACUCAUUUGCCACAGAUAUCUCAGUGCAAUACAGUGAAAGUCAUCUGACGUGAAUUAAACCAGUUUGGAUAUGAAGCAACAUUAGCAUGGACCAAUACCUUUGAUCAGGGUGCAGAAUCAUCCCCCAGUCCAGGUGCUGUUGCAAGUUCAGGUUAUUCAUUUAUCUACAGCGAGAGCAAACCAUGUUCUACCAGAGCAAGGAUAUAUGAAAUAGUGUCAGGAAAAGGAAAAUGAAGAUAGAGCAGGGAGGCAGGGUGAGCUGUUUGCAUCCUUCAAAGGAAAGCAAAGGAGUGCCUGUGAAGAUGAACCUUAAUUUAAACCACAGGGAAGAAGAGUGUUAAUGCAACACCCAUCUCAUGCUGCUUUUCCGAUAAGGGCUAUAAUACAGCAAAAGUGGCUGAAGAGGCUUUUCUCAGAGAAUUUUCUAACCAACUUUGUAAAGCCAAGAAGGCAAAACUCUCCUGGAGACCUUUCAUGUUCUUAGUUCACUGAAUUCAAAUGUUUAUGUGAGUCUUCUGCAACUAUUGUCAUUUAAAUAGCUCGCGCUCCUCAAGUGGGAAGGGUGGCUGUGAUGCAGUGUUGUGGAGGCUACCAGUACAUACCAGAAGCCUCAAGAACUCUUCAGCAUUUCUAUCCGGGAUGUGCUAAGAUGUGCAGCCUCCUGCUAUGCUGCUGCUGGUCCAGCUGCUGACUGCACCAUCCUGACGAAAUCCAGGGCUUGUUCCAGUCCGAAGAGAAGAACAUAUUACUCUACAACAACAGUCUAUUUGUGACAGUUUGCUCUCAUCUUCCUGCAACCCAUCUUACAAAUGAGACAUAAAAUUGAGGCUUUGGACGCUUACGGACCCAAUCCUGCAACAUUUAUGCACCUGGUUAAGCUGAAUCAUGUGAAGAUUCCUAGCGGAUUGAAUGUGCAGAAUGACUAAUACUUGAGAAACUAUGGCGACAGUUUGCAGUUCUUUGGGAUAAAGAGGAAUGCAUGAAACUAGGGUGUGUUAUCUCCUCCUCUCCCCAAAUCUGGCCAGAAUGCUCUAAAGGAUGGACUUGGAGUGAAUACAGGGUAAAAUGUUCUCUCCUGCAGUCAGUACCUAUUAUAUUCAUUUCUUUCUGCUGCUAUAGUAAGACUCCUGAUUGUGCAAUAUUUAGCCCCCAGCAGUGCAACAAGAUCUCCAGGUUUACAUCGCAGAGUCACACUUGGUGAUGUUAUACAGCCUUGUUAAUUGAUUACAAAAUAAUUCAGCGCGCUGCACUGUUCCUGCAUCUUCAGUGUAGCUUUGCUGCCUCCUCAUUCGAAACCAGCUGUACUUCAAGGUCCUGGUCCCUGUGUUUGAAGCCUGAAGAGCUGAAGAAUGACCUUUCUCUUCGACCUACAUCUUUCAUAGGAAUAAAGCAACAGAUGACACCAAGUACGGGAUUCACAGAGCUCUUUGUGCAAGCCCCGAGCAGUGGAGCUUUCCAGUGAAGGGCAUCAAGCUUAACUCUCAGCUCACCCUGCAAGGAGGGGUUUGGUUUUUGUUGUUUUGUUUUGUUUUUUUUUCAUUUCAGCAGCAUUUCCAUUGACUUAUGCAGGAGCAGAGUCAAAUCCCAGCAUGUUUUUUAAGACAAGCUACUCCACAGCAGGAGCAGAUCUCGGUAGAUAGGAUGUCCCUGUCCCUGUGGGACUCCCCAUCCAGGCAAACCAACUCCCACCACACACUGAAUGAUUCCCACACUUAUUGCUCAGCCUCCAUUGAGAUUUCUGGUUUUGCACAUUUCCAUCGUGAUUGGCAACUGAAACAGGAAGAUCAGACAAAAGAAGCUGAAACACCACCUGGGAUGGAGCUGAAAAAAAAGAUGCAGGAGCAGAUAUCUCCAUCUGUAUUCUCCAGGAUGUGUAAGCUGGGAAACCAGCUGCGGUGCGGUGCUCCCGAAUCACAGGGGACUGGUGCUCUGCCCCGCUGCAUCUCGGGAAACCCCUGUGUCAGUCCCUGUCCCAGCAAGGUCACCUUAAAGCCUGUUUCCCCAUCCUCAGGCCAGUCACACUGUUGUGAAACUCCAGAAUAGGGUGAGGAAAGGGAGUCCAAGAAGAAUAAAACAGAGGAAAAUGAGGCUUUUCUCAGAUUUAUGCAGAAGGUAAAUUAUGGGGCUACUCAGACCACCUGAAAUCACUUUCUCCCCAGGGGCCUGAAUAUGCUCUAUUACAAAAGCUGCAUAUGGAACUGUAAAUUUGCCAUAUAUACUAUAGUAUAAUUGUAGCAGACUCACCUAUGUUGUAUUUUUUACCUAUAAACGUAACAGUGAUUUGUUUGUCUCCUCUUUAUACAGGAAUUUCAGAGCCCCCUGGAAAGCACAUUGGCCAUAAUGGGCUCCUUCCACCAUUUAAUCCAGAUAAAUGGAAAACUCCUCUGCUAAAUAUGCCUUCCUGUACACAAAACUGGUGCUACACACUCAAUACGUAUGGAUGCAUCCCCAUGCAAAGCACCUCAGCAUCCUCGGUAGGAAUCAUGCAACAUUGACAGCAUAUCACACCCUGAGCAACAUACUUUUUGUAUUGAUGCAAAAAGCCGUGCACAGAAGGGAAAAUGGCAGCUUUCCAAGUGGCCCCAGUUAAUAGCUCUGUUUUGCUUAAUGGUGCCUCCCAUUCAGACUAAAGAUGCUGUUUUAAAUAUGUAAGCAAUUAGUAUCUCUCUCUCUCAACACAUCUGUGCUUCUUCUGUCUGCUGCAUUAUAAAUCCACUGCGUCCCUCUCUAGUUCAGCGGUGCACGUAUCACCAGAUAUUCUGAUUUUUCAGCAACUUUGUGGUCUGAAAGAAUUAUGCUUGCAUUUGGAGACACCCUGCCAGGCUGGCCCUGCCUAAACCUUGGCACAGCUGGUCUCUCCUCUCCAGGGCCGGGUGCAGGACUAAACAGAUAACAGGGAUGCAGGGAAAGGAUCACUUAGUCUUUUUUUUUUUUUGGCUGUUCUUUUGUCCAGCCAGUCCAUUUUUCCUUAUUCCCAACUUUCAUACACUUUAAUCUCCCUUUCUGGAUAAAAACUCCAGCCUUUUCUCUCCAUAACAAAAUCUAAGGCUAUGCCUGUAGCCUGCAGGUUGGUCAUAGGGGCUGUGAGAGUGGCAGAGUUGCCUCCAGGUGCCUCAGAAGCAGAGCCCCUUGCGUGGUUUCUACUUAAUAAAUUCUACCUUUUCAAACUACGGCGAGAUGUAAAGAGUUGUGGCAGGACUGGUGUAGUUAUGAUGGUCAAUAUUUAUAGCAAAGAAAUUUAUUAUUACCAAAACGGGUAUUAACAGUAAUCGAGAUGGUUGUGAUUAGUUAUUAAUCAUCAUUGUUUACAAUACGUUUUCUAUCCCAAAAGAUCUGCUUUAUUGCACGCACGUUGCGUGAGAAGGUACAAUCACCACCACCGCAAACAGGAGUGCGCUUUGUCUUAUUUUAU